rnacentral:lncRNA from 1 species
AUUUUAUACCAUGCAAGCACCUUUUGCAAGAAGCUGAUCUCUGUAGAUAUAAGCUGGACAGGAGCCACUGAUUUAGGAAUCAUUGCUCUGGCAGAAGCUUCUGUAAGCCUCCAGAGCCUUUCUGCAAAUGGAUGCCAAAUUACAGACGAUGCUGUAAAUGCCUUGAUUGAAAAACAUGGGAAAAGACUCAGUAAAAUUGAAGUCUUUGGUUGCCAUGCUCUAACUGCCAAAUGCCUGAGUUCCAUAGCUGAAGAGUGUCCAAAUCUGCAGACAUUGAACAUUGGCAGAGUCCCAG